rnacentral:rRNA from 1 species
GACGAACGCUGGCGGCGUGCCUAAUACAUGCAAGUUGAGCGAUGAAGAUUGGUGCUUGCACCAAUUUGAAGAGCAGCGAACGGGUGAGUAACGCGUGGGGAAUCUGCCUUUGAGCGGGGGACAACAUUUGGAAACGAAUGCUAAUACCGCAUAACAACUUUAAACAUAAGUUUUAAGUUUGAAAGAUGCAAUUGCAUCACUCAAAGAUGAUCCCGCGUUGUAUUAGCUAGUUGGUGAGGUAAAGGCUCACCAAGGCGAUGAUACAUAGCCGACCUGAGAGGGUGAUCGGCCACAUUGGGACUGAGACACGGCCCAAACUCCUACGGGAGGCAGCAGUAGGGAAUCUUCGGCAAUGGACGAAAGUCUGACCGAGCAACGCCGCGUGAGUGAAGAAGGUUUUCGGAUCGUAAAACUCUGUUGGUAGAGAAGGACGUUGGUGAGAGUGGAAAGCUCAUCAAGUGACGGUAACUACCCAGAAAGGGACGGCUAACUACGUG